AUGAAAGCACACAACGUCAGAUCUAUAACAACAUCCAACAGCUACUCACAGGUAACACACACACACACACACACACACACUCACACUCACACACUCACUCUCACUCUCACUCUCACUCUCACACUCACACUCACUCUCACUCUCACUCUCACUCACACACACACACUCACACACUCACUCUCACUCUCACUCUCACUCUCACACUCACACUCACUCUCACUCUCACUCUCACUCACACACACACACUCACACACUCACUCUCACUCUCACUCUCACUCUCACACUCACACUCACUCUCACUCUCACUCUCACUCACACACACACACUCACACACUCACUCUCACUCUCACUCUCACUCUCACACUCACACUCACUCUCACUCUCACUCUCACUCACACACACACACUCACACACUCACUCUCACUCUCACUCUCACUCUCACACUCACACUCACUCUCACUCUCACUCUCACUCACACACACACACUCACACACUCACUCUCACUCUCACUCUCACUCUCACACUCACACUCACUCUCACUCUCACUCUCACUCACACACACACACUCACACACUCACUCUCACUCUCACUCUCACUCUCACACUCACACUCACUCUCACUCUCACUCUCACUCACACACACACACUCACACACUCACUCUCACUCUCACUCUCACUCUCACACUCACACUCACUCUCACUCUCACUCUCACUCACACACACACACUCACACACUCACUCUCACUCUCACUCUCACUCUCACACUCACACUCACUCUCACUCUCACUCUCACUCACACACACACACUCACACACUCACUCUCACUCUCACUCUCACUCUCACACUCACACUCACUCUCACUCUCACUCUCACUCACACACACACACUCACACACUCACUCUCACUCUCACUCUCACUCUCACACUCACACUCACUCUCACUCUCACUCUCACUCACACACACACACUCACACACUCACUCUCACUCUCACUCUCACUCUCACACUCACACUCACUCUCACUCUCACUCUCACUCACACACACACACUCACACACUCACUCUCACUCUCACUCUCACUCUCACACUCACACUCACUCUCACUCUCACUCUCACUCACACACACACACUCACACACUCACUCUCACUCUCACUCUCACUCUCACACUCACACUCACUCUCACUCUCACUCUCACUCACACACACACACUCACACACUCACUCUCACUCUCACUCUCACUCUCACACUCACACUCACUCUCACUCUCACUCUCACUCACACACACACACUCACACACUCACUCUCACUCUCACUCUCACUCUCACACUCACACUCACUCUCACUCUCACUCUCACUCACACACACACACUCACACACUCACUCUCACUCUCACUCUCACUCUCACACUCACACUCACUCUCACUCUCACUCUCACUCACACACACACACUCACACACUCACUCUCACUCUCACUCUCACUCUCACACUCACACUCACUCUCACUCUCACUCUCACUCACACACACACACUCACACACUCACUCUCACUCUCACUCUCACUCUCACACUCACACUCACUCUCACUCUCACUCUCACUCACACACACACACUCACACACUCACUCUCACUCUCACUCUCACUCUCACACUCACACUCACUCUCACUCUCACUCUCACUCACACACACACACUCACACACUCACUCUCACUCUCACUCUCACUCUCACACUCACACUCACUCUCACUCUCACUCUCACUCACACACACACACUCACACACUCACUCUCACUCUCACUCUCACUCUCACACUCACACUCACUCUCACUCUCACUCUCACUCACACACACACACUCACACACUCACUCUCACUCUCACUCUCACUCUCACACUCACACUCACUCUCACUCUCACUCUCACUCACACACACACACUCACACACUCACUCUCACUCUCACUCUCACUCUCACACUCACACUCACUCUCACUCUCACUCUCACUCACACACACACACUCACACACUCACUCUCACUCUCACUCUCACUCUCACACUCACACUCACUCUCACUCUCACUCUCACUCACACACACACACUCACACACUCACUCUCACUCUCACUCUCACUCUCACACUCACACUCACUCUCACUCUCACUCUCACUCACACACACACACUCACACACUCACUCUCACUCUCACUCUCACUCUCACACUCACACUCACUCUCACUCUCACUCUCACUCACACACACACACUCACACACUCACUCUCACUCUCACUCUCACUCUCACACUCACACUCACUCUCACUCUCACUCUCACUCACACACACACACUCACACACUCACUCUCACUCUCACUCUCACUCUCACACUCACACUCACUCUCACUCUCACUCUCACUCACACACACACACUCACACACUCACUCUCACUCUCACUCUCACUCUCACACUCACACUCACUCUCACUCUCACUCUCACUCACACACACACACACACACACACACAGGUUUGUUUUUAUGGUUAUGGGGACUCUCCAUA
rnacentral:lncRNA from 1 species